UUGUUGGAGAGUUUGAUCCUGGCUCAGGAUGAACGCUGGCGGCGUGCUUAACACAUGCAAGUCGAACGAGGUCCAUGGAGCUUGCUCCGGACGACCUAGUGGCGAACGGGUGCGUAACACGUGAGAAACCUGCCCCGGACUCUGGAAUAACAGUUGGAAACGACUGCUAAUACCGGAUACCACCGAUCCAUCGCCUGGUGGAUCGAUGAAAGAAUUUCGGUCUGGGAGGGUCUCGCGGCCUAUCAGCUAGUUGGAGAGGUAACGGCUCACCAAGGCAUCGACGGGUAGCUGGUCUGAGAGGAUGAUCAGCCACACUGGGACUGAGACACGGCCCAGACUCCUACGGGAGGCAGCAGUGGGGAAUCUUGCACAAUGGGCGAAAGCCUGAUGCAGCAACGCCGCGUGCGGGAAGACGGCCCUAGGGUUGUAAACCGCUUUCAGCAGGGAAGAAACUGACGGUACCUGCAGAAGAAGAUGCGGCCAACUACGUGCCAGCAGCCGCGGUGACACGUAGGCAUCAAGCGUUAUCCGGAUUUAUUGGGCGUAAAGAGCUCGUAGGCGGUUCGGUAAGUCGGGUGUGAAAACUCUGGGCUCAACCCAGAGACGCCACCCGAUACUGCUGUGACUAGAGUGCGGUAGGGGAGUGGGGAACUCCUGGUGUAGCGGUGAAAUGCGCAGAUAUCAGGAAGAACACCAGUGGCGAAGGCGCCACUCUGGGCCGUAACUGACGCUGAGGAGCGAAAGCAUGGGUAGCAAACAGGAUUAGAUACCCUGGUAGUCCAUGCCGUAAACGUUGGGCACUAGGUGUGGGUCUCAACCAACGAGAUCCGCGCCGUCGCUAACGCAUUAAGUGCCCCGCCUGGGGAGUACGGUCGCAAGACUAAAACUCAAAGGAAUUGACGGGGGCCCGCACAAGCAGCGGAGCGUGUGGUUCAAUUCGAGGAUACGCGAAGAACCUUACCUACGCUUGAAAUGCUUGGCAAUGCUAUAGAGAUAUAGCGGAGGCUAACCAAUGCACAGGUGGUGCAUGGUUGUCGUCAGCUCGUGUCGUGAGAUGUUGGGUUAAGUCCCGCAACGAGCGCAACCCCUUUCGAUAGUUAUUUCAUCUAUCGAUACUGCCGAUGCAAAUCGGAGGAAGGUGGGGAUGACGUCAAGUCAUCAUGCCCUUUAUGACUAGGGCCACAAACGUAAUACAAUGGAUGAUACAAACAGUCGCGAAACAGCAAUGUGGAGCUAAUCUGAAAAAGUCGUUCGUAGUCCGGAUUGGAGGCUGAAAUUCGCCUCCAUGAAGCUGGAAUCACUAGUAAUCGCGAAUCAGCUAUGUCGCGGUGAAUACGUUCUCGGGUCUUGUACACACC
rnacentral:rRNA from 1 species